GCCGGCAGCUAGCUCUCUGCAACUCUCACAUGGUCACCCACUGAUGCUAAGCAGGGCUGCGCCCGGUCAGUACCUGGAUGGGAGACUACAUGGGAAAGCUAGGUUGCUGCUGGAA
rnacentral:rRNA from 1 species